UUGACCUCGGAUCAGGUAGGAUUACCCGCUGAACUUAAGCAUAUCAAUAAGCGGAGGAAAAGAAACCAACAGGGAUUGCCCCAGUAACGGCGAGUGAAGCGGCAACAGCUCAGAUUUGGAAUCUGGCCUUCGGCCCGAGUUGUAAUCUGGAGAGGAUGCUUCUGGCGCGGUGCCUUCCGAGUUCCCUGGAACGGGACGCCGGAGAGGGUGAGAGCCCCGUACGGUUGGACACCUAGCCUUUGUGAAGCUCCUUCGACGAGUCGAGUAGUUUGGGAAUGCUGCUCAAAAUGGGAGGUAAAUUUCUUCUAAAGCUAAAUAUUGGCCAGAGACCGAUAGCGCACAAGUAGAGUGAUCGAAAGAUGAAAAGCACUUUGAAAAGAGAGUUAAAAAGUACGUGAAAUUGUUGAAAGGGAAG
rnacentral:rRNA from 1 species